rnacentral:rRNA from 1 species
GGAUGAGCCCGCGGCCUAUCAGCUUGUUGGUGAGGUAAUGGCUCACCAAGGCGACGACGGGUAGCCGGCCUGAGAGGGCGACCGGCCACACUGGGACUGAGACACGGCCCAGACUCCUACGGGAGGCAGCAGUGGGGAAUAUUGCACAAUGGGCGAAAGCCUGAUGCAGGGACGCCGCGUGAGGGAUGACGGCCUUCGGGUUGUAAACCUCUUUCAGCAGGGAAGAAGCGAAAGUGACGGUACCUGCAGAAGAAGCGCCGGCUAACUACGUGCCAGCAGCCGCGGUAAUACGUAGGGCGCGAGCGUUGUCCGGAAUUAUUGGGCGUAAAGAGCUCGUAGGCGGCUUGUCGCGUCGGUUGUGAAAGCCCGGGGCUUAACCCCGGGUCUGCAGUCGAUACGGGCAGGCUAGAGUUCGGUAGGGGAGAUCGGAAUUCCUGGUGUAGCGGUGAGAUGCGCAGAUAUCAGGAGGAACACCGGUGGCGAAGGCGGAUCUCUGGGCCGAUACUGACGCUGAGAGCGAAGCGUGGGGAGCGAACAGGAUAAAUACCUGUAAUCC